GUGCCAUGUCCGCACCCAGGAUCCGAACCUGAGAAACCCCAGGCCACCACAGUGGAGCGCAUGAACUUAACCACUCAACCACGGGGCCGGCCCCUCAGAAUUGAAUUAAAUUCUAGGACACCUGGCUGGUGUGGCAAAGAAUUGCUUGGUGUGGAAAACGCACACACCUGGCUUCAGAAGAGAAGGAAAGCAUCAUGUGUGAGUGAGGGAGACGCAGAGGGAACUGUUCCUACAGUGGGGGCGGGGUCUGAGGGUCAGCGUGGGGCUAGGAUGGGGGCCUCUGGAUCAGGGUGGGGCCAGGGGUGGAAUCCUGGGCUCUGCCCCCAACUCCCUGUGUGACUUUGGGCAGGUUGCUACCCCCACCACUCUGGUCCUUGGUUCAUAAGAUGGUUGGGUAGGGAGGUGUGUGGGAAAUGCUUUUGGUUUUGAUUAUAAAAUAUCACUCAUCUAAAGCACAUCUAUAGGCAACUUAAAGAAAAGAGAAAGAACGCCUAUGUUAAGCACACCUGGCUUAAGAAAUAACGUUCCCAGGACCUUUGAAGCCCCUACAGGCACUGCCCCAUCCUGUCCCCUCCCCAGAGGUAACCGCUUUCUCAAAUUUGGUUUUCCUCCUUUGCUUUGCUUUGCUUUCUAUGUACAAACCCCUCGGACAAUGCUGCGUUCGUUCUGCACGUCCACGGAACCGAGCUCCAGGCAUUCUGAGAGUCGCCUGCACUGCCCAGCACGUCGUCGGGGACCCGUCCACAUAGACGAGGGCACACAGGGUUCCGCGUGUGCCGUCCCUCAGCGUACUCACCCUGUCUCCUGUUGAUGCAACUUUGGGUUGUUUCUACUUUGGGGUCUUCCUCGGUUUUGAUCUAUUUUUGCUGUUUUGCCCCCGCCUCGUGGUGCUCGUUGCACCGCUGUCUCCCGGUUGCACAUCUUGGAGAAAUUACCGAGUCGGGGGGACAUGUGCCUUCACCUUCCUGCACAACAUCAAAGUUACUCCCAAGGGGUUCUUCCUAUGUCCAUUCCCACAGCAGAAGAUAAGUGCUUUCUGUCCGGUAUCCAUGAUGACACUUUGUUUCCUCAGAUCUUUUCAUUUUUGCUGGUCCAGUCAUUGUGAAAAACAAAACCAGACAAACCACCAAAAUCUGACAACGAAUGGGGUCGGGCUUCUUGCAGAAGCUUGCGGGUUGUGACUCUCUUCUGUGAACGCUUAUCCGUGCACUCGCCCACUUUCUUUUGGGUGGUUUGCUUUUUUCUUGAUGAUUUGCAGGAUUAUUUACUUAUCCGAGGUACAAUUCCUUCAUCAGUUGCAAGAACUGCCAAGACCUCUUCCGGUUUGUGGCUUGCCAUUUGACUUUGUGUAUCGUGUCUGGGAAUGGCCAGAAGUUUUUACUAUUAAUGUACUCAAAUUGAUCAUCUUUUUCUUUGGUGCCAUUGACUUUUUAGCAACAUGGCUCUUUGUCCAAAAGAAGCCACAUAUGGAUCCCAACAUAGAAUGCCCUCCCCCUUACAGGGCCAAUUUUUUUCCUUAAAGAAAAUUUCUUGGGCAAAUUAUCAUAAACCAAAGACCUCAUGGCCAUGGAGAUUAAUGUUACACAUUUUCAGUAGUUAAUAAAAUAAACAUAUAGUGCUCAGUGCUUUAAUAAUUGAAUCUUUUGCAACAAGAACAAAACCCAGAAAGGUUAAGAGAAACAAAAUCAGUGACAGUAUGGCAAACGCCACCCAAGGGUGCCAGUGCACGGUCACAACCUGGUCAGCACACGCUGCGAGGCCGGGCUCCAGGAUGGCUCUCCUCUGUAGCCGCUUUUUUAUUCUUCCAGAUAAAAUUAAAUUGAUUCCCUUUACAAAAUGAUUCUUUGCUUUGCAAAGUAAUUUCAGAAUAUUGGUAAAUAACAAGUUCUGGUUAUGCACUUAAAAUGCAGAUAUAUUUUUAAUCUAAGUUUCCAAGGAAAGUAACUUAGUAAAGCUUAGUACUUGCCUUAAAUAACCAAUGUAGAAACAACACCAAAUUCACAGUAUUUGGAAUGUUAUAGGACCUUGGAAUAUUUCAAUCCAAUUUCCUCAUUUUAUGAAAGAGGGAACUUCUGGAAAGAUCCAGCUUCUGGAGAUCUCGAGAUGGGGAAACCCACAGCAGGCUUCCAGAAGAUGAAGAGCUGCCUGGAAGCAGAGGGACGUAGGAAGUGAAGCCCCUCCACUUAGAUAGGCUGCUCCACGUGGACGGCUGCACGCAGUCUGAGACCUAGAUCCAGGGACCAGUCCCUGCGGGUGCCUGACCUCCUGCCCCCUGGGCCCUGCUCGUGGGCCUGGCUUGGCAGGCCACCUGUGCCCAGUGCCCUUUGAGCCUGCCCUGCCUCACCUCCUCGACCUUCCCAGCAGCAGCGGGGCCCCAGCAGGAGGAGAUGAAAUGACACCUCAGACCUGGUCCCGGAUGUUACCCAACCAAGUUUGUUUUGCCGGCUGCAUGAUUACCACACUCACCGAGCCACCGAGUUUGCAAAGAGAAAGGAUUUCAUCACAAGACAGGCAAGCGAGGAGACAGGAAAAUCAAUCUCGGAUGGCCUCCCUGAAAAUAGGGACUCAGGGAUAUUUAUGGGGCAGGGGGCAAGGAUGUCUGAAGUGCGGGGAUAGAUGACUGGAGGUGAGGAGAGUGAGGUAAUUGACGAUCUGCGCAGGCGUAGUCCAGCUUCAUGGCUCCUCACAGGACACAUGUUCACAAGAUGGCCGCAUCACCAGGAUUUGAGGGUGGGGUUUUCAGCUCCUUGACAUCAAAAAGGUCACUUGCUGAGCACUUGCCCUGACCCGGCUGAUGGAUUGGUGGUCUCAACCGGCCUGAACUGGACAAGGGGCCUCAGUUCUCAAAAAAUCACUCAAUUCCUCAGUUGCUAAGAUGGUCAGUUGAACUGGUCCUGGAGGGCAGCAUCUACAUGGGUACUUCCUGGGAAAGCAGACACACAGGAGGGCUGGGGUGUCUGUCUAGAGAGAGGCUGUAAGGCCAAGCAGCGCAACCUCUGGGGACCAUCAGCCACCCUUAGAAUCCUAGUCCUGCCGCUUACUGUCUGUGUGACCUUAGACAAUGACCUUCGCUGCUCUGUGCCUCAGUUUCCCUCUCUGGGGGAGCAAAAUGAGACGGUGUUUUCUCUAGGGCUCUUCACAUAGUUCCUGGUGCCCUGUAAGUACUUGUAGGGGUCGGUAAUUAUGCUCUCACAGAGCAGGAUUGCCAGGGCUUUGCACACGGACCGGGCUCCCCGGGAGAGAGUGACUCCAGUGCCUGUCAUAGCAAGGGCCAACCCAGCCCCAGCCAGGCGGGCUCUCCAGAGACGGACGCCCCCAGGCUGACUCAUCCCACCCACAGCCCAGAGGUCUGCGCUCCUUCUCCUUCUCUCCCCUGCCCUGGCUUCAGCUCGGAUGUUGCCCGCCCCCCACCCUGACUCCCACCCCAGAGGGAGGGCAGAUCUAGCCCACCUCGAGCCCCUUCCUCUCUCCCCUCAGCCCAGGGUGAGGUGCGCACAGCCCGGUCUCUGGCAGGACUAACUCUAGUGGAGUCCAGAUGGUCCAUCCAAGCCGGGAAUGUUCAACUUCCUGUUUUGUUUUCCGCCGGCAGUUCUAAACCAGAACUUUCUUUCCCAUAAAAAGUAUUUCUUCAGGUUACUGACUCUGUCACGCCAGUCUGAAAACCAGGGAAAUUUGAGACAGUUUUUAUUUGGAUCAAAAUUAAAAUGAAGACCUGCCCAAGGAAGCAGCGGAGGUUUAAAGGCCUGGGCUGGCCCGGGAUGGGGUUCAAGGCCUCCCUGAGGCACUAGCCGGCUGCCUGGCUUGGGGCAAGGGGCUCAGGGCCUCACUCAGUUCCCUCCGGCUUAAACAGGAGUAAAGACUUCUUCACUAACGGCUUGUAGAGAUUAAACAAAGUGUUGCAGGAAACGGUUUCUAGCACACAGCCCCGUGUAGGAAAACACUCGACGUCCACAGAAACAAAACGUCUCCGGAGCCCACGCCCCACCGAGAUUUCAGAGCCCGGUCAGACCAGAGAGCAGGACGAAGUGAGAAGGAAAAAUUCAUGAGACAAAAUUCAGGAAUUUUCCACGUCUUUGGAAGAACCACGAUUUGGACAAAGAAUGUGAAAUAUUCACCAACCUAUAAGAUCACCAUGACUCAUGGAGAAUUUUCUGUGGGAACUUAAAAAAAUGGAUGUGAUGCAUAUUGCUAAGAGAAAGAAGCCACUCUGAGGAGGCUACCUACUAUAGGAUGCCAACUCUAUAACACCCUGGGAAAGGUCUAACCAGGGAGAAAGAAGUGUGAUGCAGUGGAAAGAAUAUUGGAUCAGGUGACAUGGAACCCUGACAGGUCAUCACCAAUAGCCAAGUGGCCCUGGGCAAGCCCUCGUCCUCUGAGCCUUGUUUCCUCAUCUUUGAAAGGAGGGCGUCAAGCUACGUCAUUGCUCAACUGUGAAACGCUCUGACUCUACUAGAACAUUUCGGAAGGAUGAACUAGUGAAAGUCAGAGCUUCUCAGGAAACAGCCCUGUGACUAAAGCUCGGGGAAUGUGCCCUGCAAGCAGUUUAGUUCCAGGAACACCAGAGAGUAUAGAAAAUGCCAAAUCUCCCGGCCCGGGUCACCUUGACCGGCUAAUUCCAAUUUCCUCCAAAUAUUACUCGGGAGGCAACAGCAACCGAAACACUAAACCGCCUCUGGUCCCCACCAGCUGGUGGGGGUUUCUUCCCUUCUUGGCUCGACCUAGGAACUCAUAUUUUAUUCAUGAAAACGGAGGCCCUGGGAGGCCUCGGCAUAAACAGGAUGUAAAUAUUUGCGGGUGGUGGGGGAGAGGUGGUACUUGAACAGAGGCUGUACAAAGUGGGGACCUCCAGGACAAUGCUCACUUGGGGCCCGCCCACCUGCAUCUCCUCUGUAGCUUGGGGAGGGGGGCACGUGCAGGCUGUACCCCAGAUGGAGAUGGAUUUGGGACUUCAGUGCCCUCCAAGUGAGUCCGGCUGUUGCCUAACCUUCUGCUGCAUCCCAUUUGCCUGUUUGUUGGGGACCCUUCAUCCCCCUUCCUCAGCCUGAGACUUCGAUUUCUGGCUCUUGCAGAAGUGCCCGGCCUGUCUCCAGCCCCUGCCCUCCCCUUCCGCACCUGGCCACUCCUGUUUCAGCUGUGUGGAGUUCCCCGCCAUCCCCAAACGGGCCCUUCUCACGGUGCUGUCCCUUUCCUUAUCUCCAGUUGCUCCGCCUGGCAUGAACUUCCCUCUGAGCUCUUCCACUGGUCUCUAAGACCCCUCCAGAUCUUUGCAGGGGCCACACCCUUUCUGGAACCCCGGCCACCUCAUCUCUUGGGCUCUCCAAGGAGAAUAACUCCUGCUCAGCUAUCAGGGCCUAGCCUGGGUGUCACUUCCUCCAGGAGACUGUCCCUGAUGCUUCCCACUCCAAAUCUGGGUUCAAAAUCUCCCCUCCCCCCACCCACAGCCUGAGCUGAAGCCCUUCCUCGUAUCCCACACUGAUAGGGCCCAGACUCUUCGGUCCUGUUCACUAAAUAAAUACUUUUUGAAUAAAGGAAUGGAUGGACGGAUGGAUAAAUGGAUGAAGACGUGACUCAAUUAACACCUGUGUCUGUGGCCAUGUCUGUUGCCACCACCCCCGGAUGGAACCCUACACUUCGGCGCAUCUGCUCCAAGGACAUCAGACCCUGUCUUUUAGUGCCUUACACAC